UGGUGAAAUCCCAGAGCUUAACUCUGGAACUGCCAUCAAAACUUUUCAGCUAGAGUAUGAUAGAGGAAAGCAGAAUUUCUAGUGUAGAGGUGAAAUUCGUAGAUAUUAGAAAGAAUACCAAUUGCGAAGGCAGCUUUCUGGAUCAUUACUGACACUGAGGAACGAAAGCAUGGGUAGCGAAGAGGAUUAGAUACCCUCGUAGUCCAUGCCGUAAACGAUGUGUGUUAGACGUUGGAAAUUUAUUUUCAGUGUCGCAGCGAAAGCGAUAAACACACCGCCUGGGGAGUACGACCGCAAGGUUAAAACUCAAAUGAAUUGACGGGGACCCGCACAAGUAGUGGAGCAUGUGGUUUAAUUCGAAGAUACGCGCAGAACCUUACCAACACUUGACAUGUUCGUCGCGACUCUAAGAGAUUAGAGUUUUCGGUUCGGCCGGACGAAACACAGGUGCUGCAUGGCUGUCGUCAGCUCGUGUCGUGAGAUGUUGGGUUAAGUCCCGCAACGAGCGCAACCCUCACUUUUAGUUGCCAUCAUUUAGUUGGGCACUCUGAAAGAACUGCCAGUGAUAAGCUGGAGGAAGGUGGGGAUGACGUCAAGUCCUCAUGGCCCUUACGUGUUGGGCUACACACGUGCUACAAUGGCAUCUACAACAGGAAGCAAAACGGCAACGUUAAGCAAAUCCCGAAAAGAUGCCUCAGUUCGGAUUGCACUCUGCAACUCGAGUGCAUGAAGCUGGAAUUACUAGUAAUCGUGGAUCAGCGUGCCACGGUGAAUGCGUUCCCGGGUCUUGUACACACCGCCCGUCACACCAUGGGAGUUGGUUCUACCUUAAGGCAAGGUUUUAAACCCUUGACCACGGUAUAGUCAGCGACUGGGGUGAAGUCGUAACAAGGUAACC
rnacentral:rRNA from 1 species